rnacentral:rRNA from 1 species
GAUGAACGCUGGCGGCGUGCCUAAUACAUGCAAGUCGAGCGAACAGACGAGGAGCUUGCUCCUCUGACGUUAGCGGCGGACGGGUGAGUAACACGUGGAUAACCUACCUAUAAGACUGGGAUAACUUCGGGAAACCGGAGCUAAUACCGGAUAAUAUAUUGAACCGCAUUGUUCAAUAGUGAAAGACGGUUUUGCUGUCACUUAUAGAUUGAUCCGCGCCGAAUUAGCUAGUUGGUAAGGUAACGGCUUACCAAGGCAACGAUGCGUAGCCGACCUGAGAGGGUCAUUCGCUACACGGGAUCUGAGACAGGGCCCACACUCUGACGGUAGGCAGCAGCAGGGAAUCUUACGGGAGGGGGGAAAGCCUGACGGAGCAAAGCGGGGUGAGUGCUGAAGGUCUUCGGAUCGGAAAACUAUGUUAGCCGUGAAGAAGUAAUGCGCAAGUACCUGUGCUCAUAUUGACGGUACCGAAACAGAAAGCCACGGCUAACUACGUG